GCUAUGUUGUUUAGGACAGCCUUUGUGCUGCUGGUGCCUGCAUUCUACAAAAGUUGCAAAAUCGUGCAGCUAGAUCGUGUUAUUACUCGUCAAGGUUACGAUAUCAGAUCCAAUGAAAUAAGGAAAACAUUGAAUUGGAAAACUCUUGCUGAAAUGCGAGGCAUACAAAAUUCACUAUGAUGUAUAAGUUAUUAAAUUAUUUGG